AUGGCUGUCACCCGCGCUGAAGCCAAAGCAGUGCAAGAGGCACGAGCCAUGGCCGCCACCCGUGCCAAAGCCGAAGCAGCGGAGAAAGAACGAGCUAUGGCCGCCGCCCGCGCUGAAGCCAAAGCAGUGGAGGAGAGGCGCGUUGUGGCCACCACCCGUGCCAAAGCCGAAGCAGCAGAAAAGGAACGGGUUGUGGCCGCUGCCCGCGCUGAAGACAAAGCAGUGGAGGCGGCGCGCUCCAUGCCAAAACCGAAGCAGCGGAUAAGGAACGAGUUGUGGCCGCGACACGCGCCAAAGCCACCGCCGCUCGUGCUGAAGCCGAGGCAGCAGAGGAACAACGCAUAUUAG
rnacentral:rRNA from 1 species